rnacentral:rRNA from 1 species
CCUACGGGUGGCUGCAGUGGGGGAUAUUGCGCAAUGGGGGAAACCCUGACGCAGCAACGCCGCGUGAAGGAAGAAGGUCUUCGGAUUGUAAACUUUUGUCUUGUGGGAAGAUAAUGACGGUACCACAGGAGGAAGCCACGGCUAACUACGUGCCAGCAGCCGCGGUAACACGUAGGUGGCAAGCGUUGUCCGGAAUUACUGGGUGUAAAGGGUGCGUAGGCGGGAUGGCAAGUCAGGUGUGAAAACGAUCGGCUCAACCGGUCGCGUGCACUUGAAACUGCGAUUCUUGAGUGGUGGAGAGGUAAGCGGAAUUCCUAGUGUAGCGGUGAAAUGCGUAGAUAUUAGGAGGAACACCAGUGGCGAAGGCGGCUUACUGGACACUAACUGACGCUGAGGCACGAAAGCGUGGGGAGCAAACAGGAUUAGAUACCCCGGUAGUC